rnacentral:rRNA from 1 species
GCGACGGUUGUCCCGGUUUAAGCGUGUAGGCUGGUUUUCCAGGCAAAUCCGGAAAAUCAAGGCUGAGGCGUGAUGACGAGGCACUACGGUGCUGAAGCAACAAAUGCCCUGCUUCCAGGAAAAGCCUCUAAGCAUCAGGUAACAUCAAAUCGUACCCCAAACCGACACAGGUGGUCAGGUAGAGAAUACCAAGGCGCUUGAGAGAACUCGGGUGAAGGAACUAGGCAAAAUGGUGCCGUAACUUCGGGAGAAGGCACGCUGAUAUGUAGGUGAAGUCCCUCGCGGAUGGAGCUGAAAUCAGUCGAAGAUACCAGCUGGCUGCAACUGUUUAUUAAAAACACAGCACUGUGCAAACACGAAAGUGGACGUAUACGGUGUGACGCCUGCCCGGUGCCGGAAGGUUAAUUGAUGGGGUCAGCGCAAGCGAAGCUCUUGAUCGAAGCCCCGGUAAACGGCGGCCGUAACUAUAACGGUCCUAAGGUAGCGAAAUUCCUUGUCGGGUAAGUUCCGACCUGCACGAAUGGCGUAAUGAUGGCCAGGCUGUCUCCACCCGAGACUCAGUGAAAUUGAACUCGCUGUGAAGAUGCAGUGUACCCGCGGCAAGACGGAAAGACCCCGUGAACCUUUACUAUAGCUUGACACUGAACAUUGAGCCUUGAUGUGUAGGAUAGGUGGGAGGCUUUGAAGUGUGGACGCCAGUCUGCAUGGAGCCGACCUUGAAAUACCACCCUUUAAUGUUUGAUGUUCUAACGUGGACCCGUGAUCCGGGUUGCGGACAGUGUCUGGUGGGUAGUUUGACUGGGGCGGUCUCCUCCUAAAGAGUAACGGAGGAGCACGAAGGUUGGCUAAUCCUGGUCGGACAUCAGGAGGUUAGUGCAAUGGCAUAAGCCAGCUUGACUGCGAGCGUGACGGCGCGAGCAGGUGCGAAAGCAGGUCAUAGUGAUCCGGUGGUUCUGAAUGGAAGGGCCAUCGCUCAACGGAUAAAAGGUACUCCGGGGAUAACAGGCUGAUACCGCCCAAGAGUUCAUAUCGACGGCGGUGUUUGGCACCUCGAUGUCGGCUCAUCACAUCCUGGGGCUGAAGUAGGUCCCAAGGGUAUGGCUGUUCGCCAUUUAAAGUGGUACGCGAGCUGGGUUUAGAACGUCGUGAGACAGUUCGGUCCCUAUCUGCCGUGGGCGCUGGAGAACUGAGGGGGGCUGCUCCUAGUACGAGAGGACCGGAGUGGACGCAUCACUGGUGUUCGGGUUGUCAUGCCAAUGGCACUGCCCGGUAGCUAAAUGCGGAAGAGAUAAGUGCUGAAAGCAUCUAAGCACGAAACUUGCCCCGAGAUGAGUUCUCCCUGACCCUUUAAGGGUCCUGAAGGAACGUUGAAGACGACGACGUUGAUAGGCCGGGUGUGUAAGCGCAGCGAUGCGUUGAGCUAACCGGUACUAAUGAACCGUGAGGCUUAACCUU